AGUCGGUUAGUUUAAGGUUAGAACCCCUGUCUUCAAAACAGGAAGUGGUUUACCACCGGCUG
rnacentral:tRNA from 1 species